GCCACUUUAGCUCAGUCGGUAGAGCAACGCAUUCGUAACGCGUAGGUCGUGGGUUCGAUUCCCAUGAGUGGCU
rnacentral:tRNA from 2 species